rnacentral:ncRNA from 1 species
CCUGCACGCUCGUGGUGUUGGUUGGCGGGCUUUCCAUUCGACCCGUCUUGAAACACGGACCAAGGAGUCUAACAUGUGUGUGAGUCGGUGGGUUUGUAAACCUACGAGGCGUAAGGAAGCUGACGGGCGAGAACCCCUCUCCAUGGGGUGCAUUGCCGACUGACCUUGAGCUUGUGCGAAGGGUUCGAGUGCGAGCAGACCUGUUGGGACACAAAAGAUGGUGAACUAUGCCUAAGCAGGGCGAAGCCAGAGGAAACUCUGGUGGAGGCCCGUAGCGAUACUGACAUGCAAAUCGUUCGUCUGACUUGGGUAUAGGGGUGAGAGACUAAUCGAACCAUCUAGUAGCUGGUUUCCUCCGAAGUUUCCCUCAGGAUAGCUGGAGAUCACGUGCGAGUUUUAUCGGGUAAAGAAAAUGAUUAGAGGCAUCAGGGGUGUAACGCCCUCGACCUAUUCUCAAACUUUAAAUAGGUAAGACGGUGCGGCUGCUCCAUUGAGCCAUGCCACGGAAUCGAGAGCUCCAAGUGGGCCAUUUUUGGUAAGCAGAACUGGCGAUGCGGGAUGAAACGAAAGUCGAGUUACGGUGCCAAACUGUGCGCUAACCCAGAUCCCACAAAGGGUGUUGGUUUAUUAAGACAGCAGGACGGUGGUCAUGGAAGUCGAAAUCUGCUAAGGAGUGUGUAACAACUCACCUGCCGAAUCAACUAGCCCCGAAAAUGGAUGGCACUGAAGCGCGCGACCUAUACUCGACCGUCGGAGCAAUUGCCAGGCUUCGA